rnacentral:lncRNA from 1 species
GAGGGUGCUUAGAGCCACAGCGACGUGAGAUUGCGGCUUCAUCUGGGAGGAAAGUGAGUCUCAUUAUCCUCAGGCUCAGAAAAUCACUAAAGUUCAGCACUUGAAUGAGAGGUAAGAGUAAUUCCUAUUUUUAGUUGGGGAAAAGUAUUAUGGUUUAGAUGAUCCCAUGCUUGGCGGCAUCACCCUCGCCAACUGAGCCAGCCUGCUCUGCCUCGGACUUGGCCGGGGGUUGAGCCCAGCCGCACAGGGACAGCAGUUCGCUGGGCUGGAUCUUCAAGGCUGAGUGGUCAGGGGAAUUUGAAGGCACGCUGGUCAGGCUUGUUCUUUUUGGGGGCACGCUUCUGAGGGUUUCCUUUCUGACCUACGGAAGCCUUUCGCCAAGGCCUGUCUUUUAGAUCGUGGCUUCUGACUUCAGUUUUGAAAGUUUGUCUGUGCCAUCUUCUUGAAAAGGGCAGGAGAGAAAAAACUGGACUAAGAAGCAUAAGAAAAGCUUUCAGGAAAAUUCUGUAGCAACAAAUAAGAUGGUAAUGGGUGUGUCAGUGAUCACAGGAAAUGUCAAUGAGCCAAACUUGUCAGUUAAGAGAUUAUACAACUAAACUAAAAUAAAAUCUAGCUACCUUCUGUUUACAGGAGACAAAUAUGGAGACACAGAAACAUGCAAAUGUUUCUUAAAAAAUGAAAAGAUAUAAUGAGGAAACAAAUAAUUAAGAAGAAAGCUGAUACAGCUGUAUUAAUAUCAAAAUAGAUUUUAAUGGGAAACAAAAGUAAUAUUGGGAUAAAGAGUAGUACUUAAUGACUUUUAAAUGGUUCAAUUCACCAGGAAGAUAAUCUAAAACUUCUAUUUUUGGUUACGUUUUUAAAGUAAAAAUAUGGCAGAAUGACAAUGAAAACAUAAUAUCCAUAAUCUUGGGGGCAUGUCACUAUACCUAUUUGAUGACUGACAUCAGCAGUCCCAAAGUUAGUAAGAGAAAUCGAAAUCCCAUUCUCCAAUCACAAUGAAAUUUAGUUAGAAAUUGGUAACUGCUAGGAAAACUUUCACACAUCUAAUUAUUUUUAAAAAACAUUUAUAAACAGUUCACAAAUCAAAUAUGAAAUGCUAAUGAUAAAAUUUACCCAGAAAUUAUGAAUGUCAAAAUUUGUAGGAUUCAGCUAAAAUGGUACCCCUGCAAGAAAUCCAUAGCUUUGAAUGCCUUACUAGAGAGGAACGCUGAAAAUCAAGCCUGAAUAUUCAACUUGGGUUAGAAAAAAACAAUAGCCCAAAGAAAGCGACACUGAAGAGAAGUUAAUGAAACAGUAGAAAGAACAAAGAAGCUGGUUCUUUAGGGGAAAAAAGCUUAAAAAUGGUUAUGUUCUGGGUAAGACUCAUCGUAAAUAGAGAUGAAAGGAAUAAAAGGCACAUGAACAAUUUUAAACAUGCAAAAGCAAGCCUAACCAGGAACACAGCUAAGGGGGAGACGCACACCAUGGACAACGUUAUGCUGACAUAUCUGACAACUAAAGACAAUUCCAUGGAAAACUUGCCAAAAUUAACGAGAAAUAGUAAAUCUCUAUAACUAUCAGAAAAAAAGAAUAGGUAACUCUUCAAAUAGAGUAGUCACUGGUAACAGCAUUGGAGGCAAGUUCUACUCAACACUCAGGAAUGCAUGAGACACGUGCACUUGCAGAAAGAUCCAAUACCACUAAGAGGUCCAGUGUGUCUCCGUGCAGAAACUUACUGCAAUUCCGCUCAAACUGUAGACAAGGUUCGUCAACAAACUUGAAACUGUAACACUUAUACCAACGGACAAGACCCCAAGAAGAGUCAUGGCAACUAUGAAGAAAAUAAAUGCACACAGAUGUGCAGAGCAGGUCAGGAAUGGCUCCAGCAGACUCAAGCUUCACUAGAAAACAUUUUCUCAGCUCCAGCACUCCUGACACUUUGUGCCAGAUCGUUCUUGGUUGUGGGGUGUCCUGGGUAGUGUGGGGUGUUUAACUGCAUCCCUGGCCUCUGCCCACUAGAUGCCAAUAGCACACCCUUACCACCCCAGGCACGACAACCAAAAUGGGUCUCCAGACAUUGCCAAAUGUCCCCUUGGGGGCAAAAGUGUCCCCAGCUGAGAACCAACACUUGAUGACUAAGUAGACUACAGUAUGGUUUUGGCUCAGGGACGGGCGGCAGAAGAAUGGAGCCGAAAAGAGAGGCUUGAAGAUUCCUGAAUAUACAGAAACUGCCAAAGGUGUCGUUUCAUUCCAACAGAUUAGCAAAAAUUUAAAAAUCUGAUGCUACCAAGUGCCGGCGAAGAUGUAAUCAGAAUGUGCAUAUGUGGCUGAGGAGACUAUAAACUGGUGCAAAUGUUUUGGCAAGAAAUUUGACAGCAUCUAGUGAAAUGAAAGACAGCCAUGUCAUUGUGACCAGUAAUUCCUCUCCUAGUUAUAUACCCUAAAGAAAUGGUUUCCAAAGUGUGGUCCCCUCAGCAUCACCUGGUAACUUGGUUAUAAUGCAAAUCCUCAGGCCCCACCUCACACCUGCAGUGGGCCCAGGAAUCCAUGUUUGAACAGCCCUCCAGGGGACUGUGGGACUGCUCAAGCCUGAGAACAGCUGGUCUUAAAGCAACUCUUACGUAUAUGUACAGAGAGAGAAAUUAUAAGAAUGUCCAAGGCCGGGUGUGGUGGCUCACGCCUGUAAUCCCAGCACUCUGGGAGGCCCAGGUGGGAGGAUCACUCGGGCCAAGGAGUUCGAGACCAGCCUGGGCCACACAGUGAGACCCUGUCUCUCCAAAAAAAUAAAAAAUUAGCCCGGCAUGGUGGUGCACACCUGUCGUCUCAGCUACUCGGGAGUCUGAGGUGGGAGAACCACUUGAACCCAGGAGUUCCAGACUGCAAUGAGCUAUGACCACGCCACUGCACUCCAGCCUGGGUGACAGUGAGACUCCAUCCUAAAACAAACAAAAGUCCAUGCCGGCAUUGUUUUUAUUAAAUAAGAAAACUGGAAACACCCAUCAAUACAUCAAUGAAUAAAUUACAUUUAUUCAAUGGAAAUAAAUAUUUAAGGAUGGAAAUCAAAUUAGAGGUGAAUAUAUCAGUAUGGAUGAUUCUCAAAAUCAUAGCACUUAGGUGCACUGUUGCCUGUUAAUUCUAUCUUUUCUAACUUUAUUGUAAUUUUAUCAUUAGCCCCAAACCUCGUUCUCUUCCCAGGGCACUGGGUCCACGCUGGAGCAUCCCAGAGCUGAUCAAUCCCUCUGGAAGCAGGGACACCCCUGGCUCCAUAGGAUUCCAUUUUGCUGAACUACUGGUUCAGAAACACAAGAGCCUGACAUCUAUGGGAACACAGAGCCAGAAAACCCAGGCACAGACCAGGACAUCUCCGAGGUAUUUCCAGCAGGUAUCUGCUAGACGCGUUCUCUCUGCCAGCCCGCUGACUUGCUAGCUGUGGAGCAACUGCAGUACGUGCCCGUCCCUGUCACCAGGGGCUGGCCAUCAACAGAAGCUGCUCCUUCCAAGCCGGCCACGCGUCUACUACUUCAUCAUCCUCUCGGGGGUGCAUCCACGGCUCUCCCUACAAUGGGAGCUUCCUGAGAGGCACUUUCAUUUCUCUGUGCUUCCUCUGGGCUCACCAGCAAGUGCUAAACUGAAGGAAGAUAGAGUUAAAUUGUUUAGCAAUCAGAGUUUCUAUGACUGUCCAUCAUCACUGCAUCUCUUCUAUGACAUGAGACAUUGGUGCGAUGUGUCAUUAUGUUCAAAUGUGUGGGUCGGCCAGGGUGUAUCUGUAUGGACUGAAUGUGUCCCCAUAAAAUUUGUAUGUUGAAGCCCUAACCCCCAAUAUGAGGAUAUUUGGAGCUGGGGCCUUUGGGAGGUAAUUAAGUUAGAUGAGGUCAGAUGGACAUGGCCCCUGUGGUUGAGAUUAGCCCUAAUACCAAGAGAUAGCAGAGAGCUCCACCCUACUGUUGGCCACGUGCACACAUAGGGAGAAGGGGGCCGUCUAUAAGCAAGGAAGAGAGCCCUCAUCAGAAACCGAUCGCGCCAGCAUGCUGAUCUUGGAUCUGAGGCCUCCAGAACUGAGGGAAAAUAAAUGUCUGCUGUUGAAGUCACCCAGUCCAUAUUGUUUUGUUAUGGCAGCUGGGGUAAGACAGUGUCCUUCUCGGUUUCUACCCUUAACAGGAUAAAAAUCCCUGGAGCAAACCCUCUCCUUCCUCCCAAAGGAGCCAUGGGAAGCCACUCUCUACAAUUUGCAGCAAACACGGAAGCACCAGAAUCCUGCACGUAUGCUCGGAGGAAACGCACAGAGGACAAAUGCAGGGUCGCAGGAUACAAGAAUGGCAAAGGCUGACUCCAGAGAACGUUGUUAAGCUUCAAAUCUAUACUGUGCAUUGGAAGACUUUUGCAGCUGACUUACAAAAAUUGCAGUGCAAUUGCUAAGGAUUUGGAGUCCCUGCAAGACUGUGACCAUGUAUGACUCAUUUCAACAUGCUGUCACUCAGCUCAGAGCCUGGCACACAGUAAGCUCUCAAGUUCCUUCCCACGCUCACACUCUCUCCUACUGCCUUGUGAAGAAGGUGACUGCUUCCCCUUCUGCCAUGAUUGUAACUUUGCUGAGGCCUCCCCAGCUAUGCAGAACUACUACGGAAAUGACAUUAGACAAAAAGCAAAUUUGAGCGAUUUUCGUAUCAAAGUUCGAAAUGGGUCAUAAAGCAGUGGAGACAACUCGCAACAUCCACAAUGCAUUUGGCGCAGGAACUGCUAAUGAACUGACAGUGCAAUGGUGGUUCAAGAAGUUUUGCAAAGGAGACAAGAGCCUUGAAGAUGAGGAGCACGGUGGCCAGCCAUCAGAAGUUGACAACGACCAGUUGAAAGCGAUCGUCAAGGCUGAUCCUCUUACAACUACACGAGAAGUUGCCAAAGAGCUCAACAUCAACCAUUCUGUGGUCAUUCAGCAUUUGAAGCAAAUUGGAAGGGUAAAAAAGCAUGGGCCCAGUUGGAGAAACUGGUUAUUUUACCAAGGCUUUG